rnacentral:rRNA from 1 species
AGGAUGAACGCUGGCGGCGUGCUUAACACAUGCAAGUCGAACGAUGAAGGCAGAGCUUGCUCUGUGGAUUAGUGGCGAACGGGUGAGUAACACGUGAGUAACCUGCCCUUGACUCUGGAAUAAGCGUUGGAAACGACGUCUAAUACCGGAUACGAGCUUCCGCCGCAUGGUGAGGAGCUGGAAAGAUUUCGGCAAGGAUGGACUCGCGGCCUAUCAGGUAGUGGUGAGGUAUGGCUCACCAAGCCUACGACGGGUAGCCGGCCUGAGAGGGUGACCGGCCACACUGGAACUGAGACACGGUCCAGACGUCCUACGGGAGGCAAGCAGGUGGGGAAUGUUGCA